rnacentral:rRNA from 1 species
AACGAACGCUGGCGGCGCGCCUAAUACAUGCAAGUCGAGCGAGAAGACGUAGCAAUACGUUUGUAAAGCGGCGAACGGGUGAGGAAUACAUGGGUAACCUACCCUCGAGUGGGGAAUAACUAGCCGAAAGGUUAGCUAAUACCGCGUACGCUCCUUGGACUUCGGUUCAGGGAGGAAAGCGAUACCGUGGGUAUCGCGCUCUUGGAUGGGCUCAUGUCCUAUCAGCUUGUUGGUGAGGAACGGCUCACCAAGGCUUCGACGGGUAGCUGGUCUGAGAGGACGAUCAGCCACACUGGCACUGCGACACGGGCCAGACUCCUACGGGAGGCAGCAGUAAGGAAUAUUGCGCAAUGGGCGAAAGCCUGACGCAGCGACGCCGCGUGGGGGAUGAAGGUCUUCGGAUUGUAAACCCCUUUCGGG